rnacentral:rRNA from 1 species
ACUCAAAGGAAUUGACGGGGGCCCGCACAAGCAGCGGAGCGUGUGGAUUAAUUCGAUGCAACGCGCAGAACCUUACCUGGGUUUGACAUGCUACUGGUACCGACCCGAGAGGGAAGGGACCCGCAAGGGAGGUAGCACAGGUGCUGCAUGGCUGUCGUCAGCUCGUGCCGUGAGGUGUUGGGUUAAGUCCCGCAACGAGCGCAACCCCCGUCCCUAGUUGCGCUAUCUAGGGAGACUGCCGGGCGAACCCCGGAGGAAGGUGGGGAUGACGUCAAGUCCGCAUGGCCCCUACGCCCAGGGCGUCACACACGCUACAAUGGCCGGUACAGCGGGACGCGAGGUCGCGAGACUAAGCCAACCCCCCAAAGCCGGCCUCAGUACGGAUUGGAGGCUGCAACUCGCCUCCAUGAAGUCGGAGUUGCUAGUAACCGCGCGUCAGCACAGUGCGGUGAAUGCGUUCCCGGGCCUUGUACACACCGCCCGU